GGACAUCAGAUUUCCUGGUGUCC
rnacentral:misc_RNA from 1 species